rnacentral:rRNA from 1 species
CACGUAGGCGGGACAGAAAGUCAGAGGUGAAAUUCCAGGGCUCAACCUUGGAACUGCCUUUGAAACUCCUGUUCUUGAGGUCGAGAGAGGUGAGUGGAAUUCCGAGUGUAGAGGUGAAAUUCGUAGAUAUUCGGAGGAACGCCAGUGGCGAAGGCGGCUCACUGGCUCGAUACUGACGCUGAGGUGCGAAAGCGUGGGGAGCAAACA